AUAAAGAAUCGAGCGAUCGCCCCGAAAGCAUUCGGGGAGGAAAGUCCGAACACCCCCGCCGAUGAGGCGGGAAGUAGGCACCACCUAACGGGUGGGCAAUAUGACCGGCAUAAUCCGCCGAUGAGGCGGAAAAGCCGGCUGACGGAUCAGUGCCACAGAGACAAUGCUAUCCGCCGAUGAGGCGGAAAAAGGUGAAAAGUGAAGAAGUGUUAUAUCGUUUGCACAAGCCUAAAACUUGUGAAAGCGAGAGGCUAUUCUUCUUGCUCGCGAGUAAUCGCGCGGCAUGGAAAACCCUGCUUGGUGCAACUCCAAAUAUGGAGGCUUGAUCUCGACAGCGAUGUCGAGGCUAGAUAGAUGAUCGCCUAAAACAGAAUUCGGCUUACGGAUUCUUUGUGAGC
rnacentral:RNase_P_RNA from 2 species